rnacentral:rRNA from 1 species
UACGUAGGGGGCAAGCGUUGUCCGGAUUUAUUGGGCGUAAAAGGCUUGUAGGUGGCCACGCCAAGUCGGAUGUGAAAUCUCCCGGCUCAACUGGGAGGGGUCAUUCGAUACUGGCGGGCUCGAGGCCGGUAGGGGGAAGUGGAAUUCCCGGUGUAGUGGUGGAAUGCGUAGAUAUCGGGAGGAACACCAGUGGCGAAGGCGGC